rnacentral:rRNA from 1 species
UACGUAGGGUGCAAGCGUUAAUCGGAAUUACUGGGCGUAAAGCGUGCGCAGGCGGUGAUGUAAGACAGGUGUGAAAUCCCCGGGCUUAACCUGGGAGCUGCAUUUGUGACUGCAUUGCUGGAGUGCGGCAGAGGGGGAUGGAAUUCCGCGUGUAGCAGUGAAAUGCGUAGAUAUGCGGAGGAACACCGAUGGCGAAGGCAAUCCCCUGGGCCUGCACUGACGCUCAUGCACGAAAGCGUGGGGAGCAAACAGG